AUUUACUUUGGGAGUGAGAUAGGGCUCAAGGAUUUAAACUACAAAUAUACAUAACUAAAUUUUAUAUCUAGCAGGAAAGAGUAGAUAAGAGCGACCUUUUUUUUUUUUUUUUGCCCAGAGGAAGUAUCAUUUUCCAUCUCCCAAAAACAUGUUUCAAAUUAUGCUAACACACCAGCUAUGUAACAAUUUAUUCAUUUCCACUCAUUGAUCAUCCCAGUACUAUUUCCUGUUUACUAAGGAAUCAUCACGAUUAUUCCAAAAUCUCAAAUGGCUCCUAUUUUGAAGCCAAUCUCCCAAGUGAACAAUGUCUUCUUCCCUCUAAAAUAUCUUGAAAUAUUUUGAAAUAUAUUCUUGAAAUUCCAUUUAUUUUUAAAUAUUUUAUUUUGAAUCAUUUCAAACAGAUGACCAAUAUCCAUGUACUUUCCACCCAGCUUUAACAAGUAUCAAUUUUUUGCCACCUUUGCAUCAGAUUUUUUAUGACCCCUCUAUAAACAGGUCUGUGAAGAAAAACUCCAGUAGGCGAUACAGCUGUAUUCUUUGACAUAAGGGUAUUAGGAGCUGUUAGACUCUACAUCUUUAAGGUUUUUAAGGUAGAAAGCUAAUUCACUGUAGAACUAACUUCAUUACAAAUAUUUUAAAUAAAUGUAAAUAUGAAGACAGAGACAAAGACAUUUUAAAAUGUAUUGUAUCCUUCCUGUCUCGGGUGCCCAGAUGAACUUUCAAAAUAAAUGUCCUAGACAACAGAACCAUAGGCUAGUUUCUUUUACCUCCUUCUGUGUCUGCUUCCUGUGGUGUAGUAACAUCCUGGAUAGAAAUAAAAUAAUCAAUAUUACAAAGUCUCUUGGGAAGAAAACCAACUCUAAACAGGGAUUUCUUAUGGAGAGAAGAGAUACCUAAACCUGUGGUCACAAAGGCACAAACUAGUUGCAGUAAGGUUAAUCAUGGUGUUUUUUUUUUAAAUGUAUUUUGGGCUCAAGUCGAUACCAAAGAACUAGGAAGAGUGAAAAUGUGCAUCUCCUCACUCGAAUAACAGUCGGAAAAUCGAGCCACUGCCCUUUUUAGAAACAAAAUAAAACAAAAAACACAACAAUAGCUACACUUAAAAGGAACACAAAGGCUGGACUUCUUCCGGGGAAAGGGAAGCUCGCCUUAACAAUUGGGAGUGAGUGCAGAUAUUUUCAUCCCUUAAAAGAUGCUGUUUCUCAUAGGCUGCUACCUUGUCAUCUGCUGAACUUACCAACAAGCGCUAAAGAUGAGACAGUCAGACAACCCCUCCCUCCUCACUGCUCCUCCUGCUAUCCCCUCGCCUUUAUCCACAAGCACAGGAAAUACCGCACAUUGCAGGAAGCUCCGGUUUGAUAUGUUCACGUCCUCCCUUGUUAGGAGGCUCUGACAGCACACUUAGAGCUGGGGGGCUGUGUCCCAGCCCGACGGCUUCACUGAGCACAAGUCAUACGUGCUCGCUCCCUCAAGGGCACUCCGAAGGAAAGGAUGGCCAAGCAUGUUUUCCUUUUCAAUACAUCCCUAUUAUCUGUGUCUGCGAAAUUUUGAACCUGUAAACUCUACGAAUGGAGCAACACAGGCUUAAAUCAGAAAGACUAUUUCAGAAUUCACUGCUCCCUAUUUAAAACUACAAAUGAACUGGCCCCAGAAAAAUUGCAGGGGGACCAGAGUAGACGAUGAGAGAAGAAAGUCUCAGUCUAGGCAGAGAGCCAGUAUAGGCUGGCCAUUCUGAGCAAAGUGGCACUUGUGUAUUAUUAGUAUUUCCCAAACAGCCUCUGAACACGUUGUGGUACUAGACUAUGGUAAAUCCAUUAUCCAUUGUAGACAGAGGAGGUCUCUCCCUGAGAUCAAAAAAAAAAAAAAAAAAA